rnacentral:rRNA from 1 species
AUUGAACGCUGGCGGCAUGCUUUACACAUGCAAGUCGGACGGCAGCACAGAGAAGCUUGCUUCUUGGGUGGCGAGUGGCGAACGGGUGAGUAACGCAUCGGAACGUACCGAGUAAUGGGGGAUAACUGUCCGAAAGGACAGCUAAUACCGCAUACGCCCUGAGGGGGAAAGCGGGGGAUCUUAGGACCUCGCGUUAUUCGAGCGGCCGAUGUCUGAUUAGCUGGUUGGCGGGGUAAAGGCCCACCAAGGCGACGAUCAGUAGCGGGUCUGAGAGGAUGAUCCGCCACACUGGGACUGAGACACGGCCCAGACUCCUACGGGAGGCAGCAGUGGGGAAUUUUGGACAAUGGGCGCAAGCCUGAUCCAGCCAUGCCGCGUGUCUGAAGAAGGCCUUCGGGUUGUAAAGGACUUUUGUCAGGGAAGAAAAGGGGCAUGUUAAUACCGUGCUCUGGUGACGUACCUGAAGAUAAGCACCG